rnacentral:sRNA from 1 species
UAUUUAUCAUCAUCAGCU